GGCCUGUUGGCGUAAUGGUAACACAUUCCGUGCACCUAUAGCAUUCAUAUAUCGGUUAACAGAAGGUUCGGAGUUCGAUUCUCCGUCAAGCCG